GGAAGGAUCAUUACAGCGUAUACGCGGGGUUCGCCCUGUUAUACCCGUCCUCAUGUCAUUCAAGUUCUCCCGUGGUCUUCGCCGUCUCCGCAAGGGGGUGGUGGGGCACGUCUGAACUCAACCCAUACUUCGGUCGAGGUGUUCGGUUACCGGGCGGUUAAUCACCAAUCGGGACAGGACCGCGAUCGGUGGUCGGUCUUUGUCGGCCGGUUCCAUCUUCCACUCUUUGAGAACUUCUGAAGUCUGAGUACAAUUUACAAAUAAAAGCAAAACUUUCAACAACGGAUCUCUUGGCUCUGGCAACGAUGAAGAACGCAGCGAAACGCGAAAGGUAAUGCGAAUUGCAGAAUCAGUGAGUCAUCGAAUCUUUGAACGCACAUUGCGCCUCUUGGUAUUCCAGGAGGCACGCCUGUCCGAGCGCCAUUACGCAAUCCAAGCUCAGCUUGAUGUUGGAUGCCGCGCCCUGCCACUCUUUGCGGCGGGGCGCGCGUCUGGAACGCGUUGGCGUCCUUUCGUGGAUCCCCGAGUGUCGCGAAGAUUUUACAUCAUUUCACUUGGCGGUGUCUGCGGGAGGCGGCCUUAAGACCAAACCUUAAUUCAAUGUUUGGCCUCGGAUCAGGCGGGGAUACCCGCUGAACUUAAGCAUAUCAAUAAGCGGAGGAAAAGAAACCAACCGGGAUUGCCCUAGUAACGGCGAGUGAAGCGGCAACAGCUCAAAUUUGAAAUCUGGCGGUCUCACCGUCCGAGUUGUAAUUUGCAGAGGGAGUCUCGAGUUACGCGCCGGCCCAAGUGCCUUGGAACAGGAUACCGUAGAGGGUGAGAGUCCCGUCUCCGGUCGGCGUCGCGCUCGUGUGAGGCCCCUUCGACGAGUCGAGUUGUUUGGGAAUGCAGCUCUAAAUGGGUGGUAAAUUCCAUCUAAGGCUAAAUACCGGCCAGAGACCGAUAGCGCACAAGUAGAGUGAUCGAAAGAUGAAAAGCACUUUGAAAAGAGAGUCAAACAGUACGUGAAAUUGUUGAAGGGGAAGCGUAUGGGGCCAGACUUGGCCGCGGGGGUUCAGCUUCGGCGCACUCCCUCGCGGGCAGGCCAGCAUCGGUUUGCGCGGCCGGACAAAGGCGUUGGGAAUGUGGCCCUCUCGGGGGUGUUAUAGCCCGGCGUGCAAUGCGGCCAGCGCGGACCGAGGAACGCGAAUCACGGAUGCUGGCGUAAUGGCCGUAUACGGCCCGUCUUGAAACACGGAUCAAGGAGUCUAACAUCUAUGCGAGUGUUUGGGUGUCAAGCCCGGACGCGCAAUGAAAGUGAACGUUGGUGGGAGCUUCGGCGCACCAUCGACCGAUCCCGAAGUUUACGGAAGGAUUUGAGUAUGAGCAUGGCUGUUGGGACCCGAAAGAUGGUGAACUAUGCGUGAAUAGGGUGAAGCCAGAGGAAACUCUGGUGGAGGCUCGCAGCGGUUCUGACGUGCAAAUCGAUCGUCAAAUUUGCGUAUAGGGGCGAAAGACUAAUCGAACCAUCUAGUAGCUGGUUCCUGC
rnacentral:misc_RNA from 1 species